rnacentral:rRNA from 1 species
GACGAACGCUGGCGGCGUGCUUAACACAUGCAAGUCGAACGGAAAGGCCCCUUUGGGGGUACUCGAGUGGCGAACGGGGGAGUAACACGUGAGUAACCUGCCCUUGACUUCGGGAUAACUUCAGGAAACUGGGGCUAAUACCGGAUAGGAAUCCUUGCUGCAUGGUGGGGGGUGGAAAGCUUCGGCGGUUUUGGAUGGACUCGCGGCUUAUCAGCUUGUUGGUGGGGUAGUGGCUUACCAAGGCUUUGACGGGUAGCCGGCCUGAGAGGGCGACCGGCCACCUUGGGACUGAGAUACCGCCCAGACUCCUACGGGAGGCAGCAGUGGGGAAUAUUGCACAAUGGGCGGAAGCCUGAUGCAGCAACGCCGCGUGCGGGAUGACGGCCUUCGGGUUGUAAACCGCUUUCAGCAGGGGCGAAGCUUGUGGUGACGGUACCUGCAGAAGAAGCACCGGCUAACUACGUG